rnacentral:rRNA from 1 species
UGGGGAAUAUUGCACAAUGGGCGCAAGCCUGAUGCAGCCAUGCCGCGUGUAUGAAGAAGGCCUUCGGGUUGUAAAGUACUUUCAGCGGGGAGGAAGGGAGUAAAGUUAAUACCUUUGCUCAUUGACGUUACCCGCAGAAGAAGCACCGGCUAACUCCGUGCCAGCAGCCGCGGGAAUACGGAGGGUGCAAGCGUUAAUCGGCAUUACUGGGCGUAAAGCGCACGCAGGCGGUUUGUUAAGUCAGAUGUGAAAUCCCCGGGCUCAACCUGGGAACUGCAUCUGAUACUGGCAAGCUUGAGUCUCGUAGAGGGGGGUAGAAUUCCAGGUGUAGCGGUGAAAUGCGUAGAGAUCUGGAGGAAUACCGGUGGCGAAGGCGGCCCCCUGGACGAAGACUGACGCUCAGGUGCGAAAGCGUGGGGAGCAAACA